rnacentral:rRNA from 1 species
CCCUUAGAUGUUCUGGGCCGCACGCGCGCUACACUGAUUCAUGCAACGAGUUUUGUCCUUGGCUGAAAGGCCUGGGUAAUCUUUGAACGUGAAUCGUGCUGGGGAUAGAUGAUUGCAAUUAUUCAUCUUCAACGAGGAAUUCCUAGUAAACGCAAGUCAUCAGCUUGCAUUGAUUACGUCCCUGCCCUUUGUACACACCGCCCGUCGCACCUACCGAUUGAAUGGUCCGGCGAAAUCUUCGGAUCUGAGAGAUGUUGGAUUAAUUUCUGACGCCUUUUGGAAAAGUCGCUUAAACCUUAUCAUUUAGAGGAAGGUGAAGUCGUANCA